CAAACCUUACCGAAUGCAAUUGGAGGGCAAGUCUGGUGCCAGCAGCCGCGGUAAUUCCAGCUCCAAUAGCGUAUAUUAAAAGUUGUUGCAGUUAAAAAGCUCGUAGUUGAAGUUCUGAUUGCUCAGGUUUCCAGCCUUAGGCGGAGAUACUGACAGUCAUCCGCUUGCAAACAUAUGUUCGAUCUUCACCGGUUGGCUAUGUGAGUAAGCACUUUACCUUGAGAAAAACAGAGUGUUCCAGGCAGGUUUGUCCGGGAUGCAUUAGCAUGGAAUAAUAGAACAUGACUGAAGUCGAUUUAUUGGUUUAAGGCUUUAGUAAUGAUUAAUAGGAACAGUCGGGGGCAUUCGUACUCAGCAGUCAGAGGUGAAAUUCUAAAGAUUUGCUGAAGACGAACUAAUGCGAAAGCAUUUGCCAAGGAUGUUUUCAUUAAUCAAGAACGAAAGUUAGGGGAUCAAAGACGAUCAGAUACCGUCCUAGUCUUAACUAUAAACUAUG
rnacentral:rRNA from 1 species